GGUCUCAUCAGAUGUACUUCAUGUUUGGCUUCCUUUUCUUAGUCUUUAUAAUUCUCCUGAUUAUUUGUUCAGAAGCUACUGUUCUGCUGUGUUAUUUUCAUUUGUGUACUGAGGAUUAUCAUUGGUGGUGGAGAGCUUUUUUUACCAGCAGUUUUACAGCUGUUUACCUUCUUUUGUAUGCAGUUUAUUACUUCUUUACCAAACUUCAAAUCACGGGCAUUGCAAACACCAUUUUGUACUUUGGGUACACGAUGAUCAUGGUCUUGAUUUUCUUCCUUUUCACAGGGACACUUGGAUUUUUUUCCUGCUUCUGUUUUAUUACUAAAAUCUACAGUGUGGUGAAAAUGGAUUAAAGAAUGUCCCCAGAGGCUUCCAGGCACAUCACCCUUGCUUUUGAAUAUAUAUCUGUAGCUAUAUGAACAUCUAUAGAGAUAUAUAUGUAUGCUUCCAAUUGCAUGUUUUUAAUAUCUAUCAAUUUAAAAACCUCAUUGUCCGGCCUCAGUUUGUAUGACACAAAAUACGAUUGUAUGGACAAAAAAAAAAACAGAUUGGAAGGUAGGUUCAUUCUAAGUAAUAUUUUCCUGAAACAAUACCAUAAAAGGGUUUGAUUUAAAGCAAUUAGAACAAAGGAAGCACAUUUCCUUAAAAAAUUAAAGUUGAGUAGACUGGAUUUUUGGAUGAAAAGUUUUUUCCUUUUUUUUCUUCUUCAUCUGCUUAGAGCAUCAGAACUACUGUCAAAUAACUCUUAGGUAAAAUGUGAAAUUUUCCAAUUUAAGUUGAUUGUACAAACUAUAUUACACCUUUGUA